AAGAUUGUGCUCAAAUCUUUCUCCUUAGGAUCUUUACCCUUUCCUAAACUUAGUUUUGAGCACUAAAAA
rfam:Marine metagenome 1096626716413, whole genome shotgun sequence.